rnacentral:rRNA from 1 species
GUGGGGAAUAUUGGGCAAUGGGCGCAAGCCUGACCCAGCAACGCCGCGUGAAGGAAGAAGGCUUUCGGGUUGUAAACUUCUUUUAUAAGGGACGAUAAUGACGGUACCUUAUGAAUAAGCUCCGGCUAACUACGUGCCAGCAGCCGCGGUAAUACGUAGGGAGCAAGCGUUAUCCGGAUUUACUGGGUGUAAAGGGCGUGUAGGCGGGAAAGCAAGUCAGAUGUGAAAACUAUGGGCUCAACCCAUAGCCUGCAUUUGAAACUGUUUUUCUUGAGUGUUGGAGAGGCAGGCGGAAUUCCGUGUGUAGCGGUGAAAUGCGUAGAUAUACGGAGGAACACCAGUGGCGAAGGCGGCCUGCUGGACAAUAACUGACGCUGAGGCGCGAAAGCGUGGGGAGCAAACAGGAUUAGAAACCCUAGUAGUCC